UCGAGCGCAGCUUCACCGCCUCCUUGCUCCGCCAGGCACCGCCAUUCUGCCGCGCGAUGAGCACGGCACAGCACAUGGUGUCAUAAUUUUCGAUGAGCGCAACGUGGCGGGCGCUCAGGAACGUCCCGCCGUGGCUCCCCCACGCUGCGCCCACGCUGUCGUCGGUCUUCUGGACCUCGCUGAUCGCGUCGUUUAUUGUUGACGUCGCCCGCCUCACGCUCCCGCCGUCGCUGCUACUUGAAGUGAAGGAAAACAAGAGAGUUUGUUAGAUUAUCAACCCUGUUCGCAAGAAUGUAUGAGCUAAAGACGGACGCUUACUCGGAUGGCUCAGAAGGAUCAGCACCGGACACCGCCAGGAGGUUGGCCAGUAGGAGCACCACCACCAUUGUCGGAACCUUUGGAAGAGACAUUGUUGAUUGUUUAAGUCUGUGUUGCUAGACGAUUGAGCAAUCUGGCUUGUUGUAUAAGUCCAUGAAGCAAUGAUGUAGGUGGUUCAUACCAACUGUAUGGUGCGAUUCAGUAGUGAAGAUGAAGGGAAGUGGGCACUACGGUGCAGUACUGGCAAGCUAGUACGGGGCUGCUCACGAGAGAAGUUCCAGUGCUACGGACGGUCCUUGUAGAUCAUGCCAAUGAUUUUCCGCUUCCAAAUUUUGUACGGUUGUUGGCCAAAAUUGGAGGAUAAAAUUGUGCUCUACAUCAGCUGCUUGGUCACAACUUGGACAGUUGAGCUUGACUGAAGACCAGCAGCUGCACAUGGCUGGAGUAGUUGGCCCAUGACAGGAGUUUGCACUGUUGUAUUUGUGCCAUGGCUGCUGUUUGUAUGAGAACAAAUGCAAGUAUUGGUUGCGAAUGAAUUGCUGAACAAAUGCAAGUAACAGUUCUGCAGAUUAUCCUAAUGUGUCCAUGUCAGCCUUGUUACCCAACUCUCGUUCAUCCAAAUACAACCGAUUUUCUUGCUCCGAUGGUCCAAGCAGAUGGCCAGUCAA